rnacentral:lncRNA from 1 species
UAUAUCUCAAAUACAUCUCAAUUCAAUCUUAAUUUAAUCUUAGUUAAAAUCCUAUUGGACUUCAUUCAAAUUUUAGGCCAAAAACUAACUAAAUCUUAAAUCUUAAAUAAAUCCUAAUAAAAUCUUAAAUCUUAAAAUAAAUCCUAAUCAAAUUAUAAACUCUAAAUCAACUUUUAAUCAAAUCCUAAUCCUAAAUAAAAUACUAACCAAAUCCUAAAUCCUAAACCAAACCUUAAUCAAAUCCUAAAUCCUAAAUCAAACUCUAACCAAAUCCUAAUCCUAAAUCAAAUCUUAACCAAAUCCUAAAUCCUAAAUAAAAUCUUAAUCAAAUCCUAAAUCCUAAACCAAAUCUUAAAUCCUAACCAAAUCCUAAAUCCUAAAUCAAAUCCUAAUCAAAUCCUAAAUCCUAGACCAAA